GAUGAACGCUAGCGAUAGGCUUAACACAUGCAAGUCGAGGGGCAGCACAUGAGUGGCAACACGAUGGUGGCGACCGGCGCACGGGUGAGUAACACGUAUGCAACCUGCCCAUAACUGGGGGAUAACCCGUCGAAAGGCGGACUAAUACCGCAUGACAACGAUGAUCCGCAUGGUGAUUCGUUUAAAGAUUUAUCGGUUAUGGAUGGGCAUGCGUUCCAUUAGGUAGUUGGCAGGGUAACGGCCUACCAAGCCUACGAUGGAUAGGGGUUCCGAGCGGGAGGUCCCCCACCCUGGUACUGAGAGACGGACCAGACUCCUACGGGAGGCAGCAGUGAGGAAUAUUGGUCAAUGGGCGAGAGCCUGAACCAGCCAAAUCGCGUGAAGGAUGAAGGUAUUAUGUAUUGUAAACUUCUUUUGUCGGGGAAUAAAGUGCAGCACGUGUGCUGUUUUGUAUGUACCCGAAGAAUAAGGAUCGGCUAACUCCGUGCCAGCCGCCGCAGUAAAAC
rnacentral:rRNA from 1 species